rnacentral:rRNA from 1 species
AGAACGAACGCUGGCGGCAUGCCUAACACAUGCAAGUCGAACGAGCCCUUCGGGGCUAGUGGCGCACGGGUGCGUAACGCGUGGGAAUCUGCCCUUAGGUUCGGAAUAACAGUUAGAAAUGACUGCUAAUACCGGAUAAUGACUUCGGUCCAAAGAUUUAUCGCCUAGGGAUGAGCCCGCGUAGGAUUAGCUUGUUGGUGAGGUAAGAGCUCACCAAGGCGACGAUCCUUAGCUGGUCUGAGAGGAUGAUCAGCCACACUGGGACUGAGACACGGCCCAGACUCCUACGGGAGGCAGCAGUGGGGAAUAUUGGACAAUGGGCGAAAGCCUGAUCCAGCAAUGCCGCGUGAGUGAUGAGGGCCCUAGGGUUGUAAAGCUCUUUUGCCUAGGGAUGAUAAUGACAGUACCUGGAGAAUAAGCUCCGGCUAACUCCGUGCCAGCAGCCGC